UCCUAGGGACAGGGUUCCUUGACUCGGCGUCCAGGCCUUGGGAGCAGGGCUCCUGCAGUCGCUGUGCCUAGGGCAGACACAUCCUUUUUCCUAUUAUAGUUACAUCAGGAACAAUGAGGAGUCAAUGCACGGAGGGGCCUGUGGCCUCCUGUGGACCAGCGUUCUCACGAUGCCCAGUGAAAUGUGUCGAUGCACAGACCCUUUGAUUCAUUGUGAUCCACGGGGCUUUUCAUGCCUUUAAAAUAAAUAGGAACCCUGAGAAGGUGUUGUGUGUCACCAGAGCUGCUAAUCAGGGCUCUAAAUGAAAAGAUGUUGGGGGGCAAUCAAGUCGUUUUUUUGCAGUUUGAAAUGCAAACGUCCUCGCCUUCUUUGGCGAGGUGCUAGGUUACUAAUUUGGAGGAUGCCAGUUUUAGAGUUUGUCUCAGUUUGACUUGUAAAUGAAAGGUGGAACCUCUCUAAAAUUAUCCCACUGCGUGGCUGCUGGCCCCAGCCUGCCUCACAGAACCCUCCUUGCCAGGCUGCGGUGGGACGAGUCCACUGAAGUUAUUAGAAAGAGAAAUCAGAGGUGCAGAGAAGCCUGUCAGUUAGGGAACUGCUCUCUUAGCUUCCUGUCCCACCACCAUUUGGCCCCUGCGGCUUCCCGUAGAAAGGGUCUCAAGUACUAGGUGUCUCAGAAUCACCUGAGGAUCUUGGGAAAGCCCUGAUGCUUGGCCCUUCCAUGUGUCCAGGCCUCUGUGUUUUUUAACUCUCCUGAACCAACAUUUCAGAACUGCCUUUCAGGACAGCAGAGAAAGUACUGAUGGAAAGAGUGGGUAACAUUUGUUUUGAAAUAGAGAUGCAGAUUUCUUCUACUGCUCAUUAAGCUGCCAUUUGCGGAACACCUGGCAGGUGCCCACCUUCACUGCCACUCUGUCAAGUCUGCAGGACAAUCCUCUUUUGUCCAAGAGAAGCCAGAAGCUUAGAGGGUCAAGUGAAUUAAGCUUCGUGGCUCUGGCUGGGAAGGUGUGCAUGUGGUGGGAAGGCCAGCCGCACGCAGGUCGGACAACAGGAUUGCUGCCUGGCCCCCACUUUCAGUGCCCCUUGGAUUCCUUGCACUCAGGUCCACAGGGAAGGGGCUGGGUAAGAUGUGACCCUUUUUCUGGGGAGCUCUGGGCACUAGCCCACUGCACCAUGCCUCCCGGGAGCCUUUGGUUUCUUCUUCUUCUUCCCGGCUCCAUUCUUUCCCUCUUAUCUUGCUUUGCCUUCACCCUUUUUCUUUCCCCUUGGAGCAGUUACUCUGAAUCUUGCCAACACAGAAACCACCUGGGAAGCUCUGGGUCGCAUCUCCAGGGAGUGUGGCAAACCGGUUUGGGCUGUGGCCUGGAUAUCAGGCGUUUUCAACACUCUGUGAAGAUUUCAGUGCGAAUUCCAAGGCCAGGAGACACACCUGUCAGCCACAGCCUGCAGAAGCAGAAGCAGGAGGUCAUCUGGACAUGCCCAGGUCAAAGAGGUGCUGACCACCAGUCCACUGGUGUAAACAGGGCACACAACGCAGCCUCACAUAAUGCCUACAUCAGCCCAGUACAUCAGCUGCACGCUGAGAGAACACCUAGCUACCGCCCCAGAGAGCGGGGAUCCCAACAUCCAAUGGGCUCGAUGCAUCUGUAACUGGCCUCUUAAGGGAUUCUGGGAAAAUAUAUUAUGCUCCUUUGGGAUCAAGGGACAUCCAUGGGUGGGCGACAGGAAGGAGAGCAGCUACCACAGCUGCUCUGUGCCCAGAACAGCCUCCUACAAGGAGUGGCUGUGCAAACACCAUUCCCCCAGUGAGAUCCAUGCCAUAAACUAGACUAUAAAAUUGGCUUCAUUGGCUCCUUCUGUGAACCAGCUCCUCAGGUUUAUUACACACACAAAACACUCACACCCUGAAAAGGACAGAAUAUUUUGCAUUGAGCUCUGCUUUGCACCAAUCUCUUAUGAAAAAUAUUGCAGACCAUAAUACAACCUCAUGUCCCUACCUGGGGCAUUUACCCAAAGACUAGAACCACUCGUUCCAAAAAGGAUUCCUCAUGAAAUACAGACGAUAACUACUAUCAGGGGAAAGCAGGCUGGAAACAGGCUUCCGAAAGUAUCUGAAGGCUUCUGCAAAUGUUUGAAUUCACGGAAUUGCCUGGAGCACUCAGCACAGCACCUGGCACGCAUAGGUCACCACUGAACCUCUAUUGAUGCAUAAUGAGCAAAUCCAUGCUGCUGUGUGUGGGCCUAGAUCCACAGACAAGGAAAUGCUAGGAUACUGCUAGGGCAAUGACCCAGAGCUUUCCACAGGAGCAAGAUUAGCUGGUGAAUAAGUGCAGAAGGGGUUAGGGUACUCCCGAGGGCAAGCCACCAGAGAGGGCAGGAAUGAACCCCCUACCCUUGGCUGUGGGCCAGGAGCAAGGAAGAGAAAGGGAAAAGGUAUUGUGUCCACUCCUAAUCAUCCCAGGUGAGGACAUAGACCUCCUGCAGGAGCUGGGGUGGAGGGUGCACCCUAGAUCCCAGCACACUGCCCAUUAGCUGAGCUAUUACUGCAAAGAGGACAAGGGGGGCACAGAGCUGAUUAGGGACACAGGCCUCGCCUGCUCCCUGGGAUCAGGACAGCUGUUCCCCUUGAGAGACAGCUGCAGAUGGGGCCCCAUGCUGACCACCAACUCUGCCGUGCCUGUGGGCACUUCUCAGGGCUGAAGUGACUUCUAAGUGAGAGAAGUUUCAAAGACACCAAGAAGUAAACCAAACCCGAAAGAGGUGGCUGAAAACAAGGGUGGCAUUUGGAUCACUUUGCAUGUGGCAGAAGUUCAGAACAAAGGGAAAUCAUGACAUCGCUGUAAGCAUGGGUGGGGGUUGAACAAAUUGUGCAGAGAACAGCAUACAGGCCUUUGCAGGCCUGCCGUCAACACUUGCCCGGGAGAAGCCUGUGCUCUCCUUCCCCUGUCUCUGUGUACAUUAGACAGUGCCAUUUAUUUUAGCAGGAAUAACUGUGCUCCUCUCUUAUCGCCCUAUUUUGGGCUUCUUUUGAAGGCAGCUCACUGCAGAACACCAGCACUCCAUUCCACCAUGAGCGCAGCCUGCCCUGGGGCUCUGCCCCCUCAAAUACUGCCAUCUCCAGGACCACACAGGCGUGAUCCUAUGCUCCCCGAGGUAGCUCUGAAGCAUGUUUGGAUUUCCAGAACACUUAACCUGCCAAAAGAAAGUGACCCUGGCAGGACUCCCUCUAAAAAGCCUUUCCUAAAACGGGGUUGGAUGCCAUGCUACCUGUGCCCACCCGGUUUCUCCUACUGGGUUGACAACACCAGGAGCAACUUCAGAUAGAGACGAUGUCUCAGUCCAACCCUGAAAGCUGGGGCAGUUUUUAGAUGGCAUGCUCCACUUGGCCCUGCCAAUAGAGUUGGCGUUCACACCAUGGAAAUGUCAGCAGAAUCCGACCGGCUCGAGAAGGUUCCAUAGAGCUUCGUGAGGAUAUGAUCAAGGUUCAGAGAAACGUGAAGCACAGAAUAAUUAAUAGCAAUGAUUUGUUCCGGAGAAGAAGGUCUCAUCUGAAGUCAUGAUGACCAAUUUAUAGAUUCUCCCUUCGACGUCUACCCUUAAUGAAGUAGUUCCUUGCAGUUAUCCUCUCUAGAUGUUCAGUUUAAAAAUGUAAACAAUGCUGAAGGUCAGAAAGUUUCCGCUUGUCCUAGGGGAGGGAUAUCAGAUUCCUCAGCUGAGGGGCCCAGGGCCGUGUGGGAAGCCCCCACUCCCACAAGUCCAAGGCAACCAACCGAUCACAGAUAAACAGAUAAAGUGACUCCUGUUUACUGAACUCCUCUCCGCGUGUCCGGCUCAGCCCUGCCUGCUCCACACAUCACCUCCUGUUAGUCUCUGUGCUUGCGCGGCCUCGUGGAUUGCCUGAUGAUGCCUGGGAAGGAAGACGGGGUGCCCACCCCACCAGCACCUCCAGCAGAGAGCCGCUUUCAUCAGCAGAAGCCGGGAGGGCGGCCUGGAGGCCUGUUAUCAGACCCCAUCCCUACCAACUGUCAUUUCCGAGAUCACUGAUGUUCUCCCUGAUGCCCCUGGGCUUGGUGAGAUCUCAAAACCUUCAGGAUCAGUGAAAAGAUAAUAAGCAUGGGUUCCGUGUAGUUUCAGAGUCAAGGUCAUUUGGAUUCUAUAAAAAUCGUCGUAGAGAAGGGGCCUAUUGAAUAUCUCUAGAUUAAAUGUUGAAUUAAC